rnacentral:rRNA from 1 species
GAAUUUAAUUUAAGGUCUGGCCUGCCCACUGAUAUAUUUAAAUGGCCGUGGUAUUUUGACCGUGCUAAGGUAGCAUAAUCAUUAGUUUUUUAAUUGAAAGCUGGAAUGAAGGGUUAGAUAAGAAAAUAACUGUCUCUAUUUAAUUUUAUUAGAAUUUUAUUUUUAAGUUAAAAAGCUUAAUUAUAAUUGAAAGACGAGAAGACCCUAUAGAGUUUAAUUAUAUAUUAUAUUUUAUAUUUUAGAAUUUAUUUAUUAAAUUUGAUUUAUAAUUUGAUUGGGGUGAUUGAAAAAUUUAAUUAACUUUUUUUGUAAUUAUUCAUUAAUUUAUGAUUUCUUGAUCCAAUAAUUUUGAUUAUAAGAUAAAAUUACCUUAGGGAUAACAGCGUAAUUUUUUUAGAAAGUUCAUAUUGAAAAAAAAGAUUGCGACCUCGAUGUUGGAUUAAAGUAAAUUUUUGGUGUAGAAGCUGAAAUAUUAGGUCU